CAGCCGCCGCGGUAAUACCGGCGGCCCGAGUGGCGGUCACUAUUAUUGGGCUUAAAGCGUCCGUAGCCGGGUUAGGAAGUCCUCCGGGAAAUCUGGCCGCUUAACGGUCAGAAUGCCGGAGGAUACUCCCAGCCUAGGGAGCGGGAGAGGCCGAGGGGAUUCCCGGGGUAGGGGUGAAAUCCUAUAAUCCCGGGAGGACCACCUGUGGGGAAGGCGCUCGGCUGGAACGCGUCCGACGGUGAGGGACGAAGGCCAGGGGAGCAAACCGGAUUAGAUACCCGGGUAGUCCUGGCUGUAAAGGAUGCGGGCUAGGUGUCGGGUGAGCUUCGGGCUCGCCCGGUGCCGUAGGGAAGCCGUUAAGCCCGCCGCCUGGGGAGUACGGCCGCAAGGCUGAAACUUAAAGGAAUUGGCGGG
rnacentral:rRNA from 1 species